GACGGAGGGUGCUAGCGUUGUUCGGAAUGACUGGGCGUAAAGGGCGCGUAGGCGGCCGCUUGCGUCGGAUGUGAAAGCCCGGGGCUCAACCCCGGAACGGCAUCCGAUACGGAGCGGCUCGAGACCGAGAGAGGUGAGUGGAAUACCCAGUGUAGAGGUGAAAUUCGUAGAUAUUGGGUGGAACACCGGUGGCGAAAGCGGCUCACUGGCUCGGUUCUGACGCUGAGGCGCGAAAGCGUGGGGAGCAAACAGG
rnacentral:rRNA from 1 species